UUUAAUUAAUUGGAUGGCUUGUAAAUUGCCCGAACCUUUCAAACGAACAACAGCAUCAACAGCCAACUUAGCGAAAUGUUCUUUGUGUUGAGAUAAAAUUUUAGAACUGAGAGUCGUUCGCGCGAUGUUCAUCAGAUCUUCACGGAAUUUUUCCAAAUUCGAACUAUUAUCAGCAGAGGCAUCUAGGAGGGCUUUUCUGGCGACAUCUACCGCUUUACGCCAACCUGCGAUGAUUGUUUGUGGAUGGAUUUUUUGGUCUAUGAGUUUUUCCGCUUCUUUCAACAAUUCAGCAGCUGCAACGAAACAAUGAAUUUUGGGAUAAAUGUCAACAACACAACAUACCCAAGACUGUGACUGAAGUAGUCCCAUCGCCCACUUCAUCAUCCUGCACUUUGGACAUGUCAACGAGAAUUUUAGCAGCGGGGUUAUCAACCCCCACAGCUUUCAAGAUCGUAGCUCCAUCAUUUGUAACUUCGACUUGUCCUGCGUUUCUGCCGCUGGAAACCAAGAUUUUGUCCAUUCCUUUAGGUCCUAGAGUGCUUUUGACUAAAUCUCCAAUUGCGAUGGCCCCCACGAAGCUUGACAAGCGGGCGAUUUCGGCUUUCUCCUCCUCGGCUUCAUGCUUUAAAACUCGCACGGGGUUUAGGGAGACCUGAAAAACGAAUUUUCUUUGAAAAUGAUGCACGUGGGUUCGCCGGUUCAGGCACCAUGACACACCUGGUUUUACUUUGUCUGGUUUGUGGGGGAAUUUGUGGAAUUUUGAUUUUUUAGGUCAUUUGGGACAUAAAUGUUGGGCUGAAUUCCAAUAACCUACCAUUUUUGUUUGAUUUAUUCACGUUUUUCCUUUAUAUUUGCGAUUUGUGUCCCGGAACAACCUCACUCACUGCUUAAACUGUCAAGUGUCAAAAAUCGUAAUGUGAAAUACACUAAAUGGUAGUGACAGAGACAAAAAAAUUAAACUUAAACAAGAGAAAGUGAGAUGGAUUUAUCCAGAAAACACCAAAAUAAAAAUACGAAAAGUACUAAAAUAUGUGAUUACAAAAAUAAUGGAGGACUACAAGCGCCAGUUUUGAUAUUCAACAAAUUACCAAGAAUAUGACUUUUUUUCACCUUGCUAGGCGAAGCUUUUCUACAACAAAAUUAAACAAUGCUAGACACAGUUGCAAGGUUCUAGUUGUGGGUGGAGGAACCGGCGGCUGCGCCACGGCUGCAAAAUUCAGUAAAAUAAUCAAAAAGAAUGAACUUAUAAUUCUAGAACCCAGCGAC